rnacentral:rRNA from 1 species
GAUGAACGCUGGCGGCGUGCCUAAUACAUGCAAGUCGAGCGAACAGACGAGGAGCUUGCUCCUCUGACGUUAGCGGCGGACGGGUGAGUAACACGUGGAUAACCUACCUAUAAGACUGGGAUAACUUCGGGAAACCGGAGCUAAUACCGGAUAAUAUAUUGAACCGCAUGGUUCAAUAGUGAAAGACGGUUUUGCUGUCACUUAUAGAUGGAUCCGCGCCGCAUUAGCUAGUUGGUAAGGUAACGGCUUACCAAGGCAACGAUGCGUAGCCGACCUGAGAGGGUGAUCGGCCAGACUGGAACUGAGACACGGUCCAGACUCCUACGGGAGGCAGCAGUAGGGAAUCUUCCGCAAUGGGCGAAAGCCUGACGGAGCAACGCCGCGUGAGUGAUGAAGGUCUUCGGAUCGUAAAGCUCUGUUAUUAGGGAAGAACAAAUGUGUAAGUAACUAUGCACGUCUUGACGGUACCUAAUCAGAAAGCCACGGCUAACUACGUG